ACUACGGGUGGCAGCAGUGGGGAAUAUUGCGCAAUGGGCGAAAGCCUGACGCAGCGACGCCGCGUGAGGGAUGAAGGUCUUCGGAUCGUAAACCUCUGUCAGCAGGGAAGAACGGUCACUGUGCUAAUCAGCAGUGAAUUGACGGUACCUGCAAAGGAAGCACCGGCUAACUCCGUGCCAGCAGCCGCGGUAAUACGGAGGGUGCGAGCGUUAAUCGGAAUUACUGGGCGUAAAGCGCUCGUAGGCGGUAUGUCAAGUCAAGGGUGAAAUCCCCGGGCUCAACGUGGGAACUGCAUUUCAAACUGGCAAACUAGAGUGUGUGAGAGGGUAGUAGAAUUCCAGGUGUAGGAGUGAAAUGCGUAGAGAUGUGGAGGAAUAUCAGUGGCGAAGGCGACUAUCUGGCACAUAACUGACGCUGAUGUGCGAAAGCGUGGGUAGCAAACAGGAUUAGAUACCCUAGUAGUC
rnacentral:rRNA from 1 species